AUUGAACGCUGGCGGCAGGCCUAACACAUGCAAGUCGAGCGAGCGGCGGACGGGUGAGUAAUGUCUGGGAAACUGCCUGAUGGAGGGGGAUAACUACUGGAAACGGUAGCUAAUACCGCAUACCAUCAGAUGUGCCCAGAUGUGAUUGGCUAGUAGGUGGGGUAACGGCUCACCUAGGCGACGAUCCCUAGCUGGUCUGAGAGGAUGAUCAGCCACACGGGAACUGAGACACGGCCCAGACUCCUACGGGAGGCAGCAGUGGGGAAUAUUGCACAAUGGGCGAAAGCCUGAUGCAGCCAUGCCGCGUGAGUGAAGAAGGCCUUCGGGUUGUAAAGCACUGUCAGCGGGGAGGCGUUACCCGAAGAAGAAGCACCGGCUAACUCCGUGCCAGCAGCCGCGGUAAUUC
rnacentral:rRNA from 1 species